UACGAAGGGGGCUAGCGUUGUUCGGAUUUACUGGGCGUAAAGCGCACGUAGGCGGUUCUUUAAGUCAGAGGUGAAAUCCCAAGGCUCAACCUUGGAACUGCCUUUGAUACUGGGGAUCUUGAGUCCGGGAGAGGUGAGUGGAACUGCGAGUGUAGAGGUGAAAUUCGUAGAUAUUCGCAAGAACACCAGUGGCGAAGGCGGCUCACUGGCCCGGUACUGACGCUGAGGUGCGAAAGCGUGGGGAGCAAACAGG
rnacentral:rRNA from 1 species